CUGGCCUGCGGCCAUGUAAGACAUGGUUUUGCUUUUCCUUUGCCUUCCACCAUGAUUGUGAGGCCUCCCCAGCCAUGUGGAACUGACACAAUUGGAGACACAUUAUUUUACCAAGUCUUUGACUGGAAUGGCCUAUUUUCAGACAUGAUCAAUCUGCUUGGGGAAUUGAAGUUGUCUGUAUAGAGACAAUAAAAAGCCUAUGGAAAGACUGGUUCCCUAAAAAGUUUCCUGACCCAUGAAAACCAAAGUCAUAGUAUUCUGAAGACUAGAGAAAUUCAACAAAGCCUGUGAAUCUCCCUUGUUUGAAAUACCAAGGAGUAUGUUGGCAAUGAGAAACCAAUAAGGCACAGUGGGAUUUCAAAGGCUCUGAGACCAUUGCAAAAGGGAAGGGUGCGUGAGAUUCUACACAUGAAUUAGCGGAAUGUGGAGGACAAAGCAACUCCAUCUAGGAUGCUAAUCCACCAUGUGGACUUCCCCUGUUCUGGGAAGGCUUCUAAGAUUUCCCCUCUCUCUAUUGUUUCUUGUGUAAGAGCAUGUACUUACUGUAAAUCCUCCCCUUAGGUAAAGACAACUUUGAUGUUAUUGUAUUUCAAUUGCCCUACAUGUCCCUUCUGAGUCACCCUUUCCCUAUGGUAUAUAAGCCCUGGGUCUGAGGGGUAAUGGCACCGGGAUCCACCAUCUUGUCUCACUGCCACAUGAAAUGCAAACAGGGCUUCUGUUUUUAA